rnacentral:rRNA from 1 species
UACAGAGAGUGCGAACGUUGUUCGGAAUUACUGGGCGUAAAGCGUGCGUAGGUGGUUCGUUAAGUCUGUCGUGAAAGCCCCGGGCUCAACCUGGGAAUGGCGAUGGAUACUGGCGGGCUAGAGUGCGGUAGAGGGUGGUGGAAUUCCCGGUGUAGCAGUGAAAUGCGUAGAGAUCGGGAGGAACAUCAGUUGCGAAGGCGGCCACCUGGACCAGCACUGACACUGAGGCACGAAAGCGUGGGGAGCAAACAGG